GCAGAAGGAUCAUUAGUGAAGAUUUGGGCAGGCCAUACGGACGCCAAAAAGUGUCCCUGGCCGCCUACACCCACUAUACAUCUACAAACCCGUGUGCACUGUCUUGGAGAAAGGCUUCUGAGAAGUUUUUUGUGGCCUCUCUUGGGGUCUUUCUUCGCUACAAACUCGAAUGGUUAGUAUGAACGUGGAACUUGGUUGGACCGUCACUGGCCAACAAACUAUACACAACUUUCGACAACGGAUCUCUUGGUUCUCCCA
rnacentral:misc_RNA from 1 species